rnacentral:rRNA from 1 species
AGCAGUAGCCGCGGUAAUACGUAGGUGGCAAGCGUUGUCCGGAAUUAUUGGGCGUAAAGGGCUCGCAGGCGGUUUCUUAAGUCUGAUGUGAAAGCCCCCGGCUCAACCGGGGAGGGUCAUUGGAAACUGGGAAACUUGAGUGCAGAAGAGGAGAGUGGAAUUCCACGUGUAGCGGUGAAAUGCGUAGAGAUGUGGAGGAACACCAGUGGCGAAGGCGACUCUCUGGUCUGUAACUGACGCUGGGGAGCGAAAGCGUGGGGAGCGAACAGGAUUAGAUACCCGGGUAGUCCCUGUCUCUUAUAC